rnacentral:rRNA from 1 species
UGAGGAAUAUUGGUCAAUGGACGCAAGUCUGAACCAGCCAAGUAGCGUGCAGGAUGACGGCCCUAUGGGUUGUAAACUGCUUUUAUAUGGGGAUAAAGUGGGGAACGUGUUCCCUUUUGCAGGUACCAUAUGAAUAAGGACCGGCUAAUUCCGUGCCAGCAGCCGCGGUAAUACGGAAGGUUCAGGCGUUAUCCGGAUUUAUUGGGUUUAAAGGGAGCGUAGGCCGUUUGGUAAGCGUGUUGUGAAAUGUAGGAGCUCAACUUCUAGAUUGCAGUGCGAACUGUCAGACUUGAGUGCGCACAACGUAGGCGGAAUUCAUGGUGUAGCGGUGAAAUGCUUAGAUAUCAUGAAGAACUCCGAUUGCGAAGGCAGCUUACGGGAGCGCAACUGACGCUGAAGCUCGAAGGUGCGGGUAUCGAACAGG